AAGUCGUAACAAGGUAACCGUAGGUGAACCUGCGGUUGGAUCAUUAACAAAUGAAAAGGGACUUCGGUCUACUUUAGUUUAGUUCGUUUAUUCGUUCGUUGAACAUUUUGUGAACUGUAAAGUCUCUGGCGGCUGGGUGUAACAUAAUCUUAGGGCUAUGUUGCAUCUGUCAACUUGAGAAAUCAGGUCGUGGACAAACCGCCAACCAUCUGUUUUGACUUUUGAUGUGUUAUAUUUUUAUCUAACAUUUACUUGUAUAAAAUAUACAAACAACUUUUGGCAACGGAUCUCUUGGCUCUC
rnacentral:misc_RNA from 1 species